ACUCCAUCUAAAAAAUAAAAUGAAAUAAAAACCAACAAAACAACAACAACAACAAAAUACCGAGUGAGGCAAAAAGAGGUGAGAGUUGAUACCUUUUAUCCCCAACUUAAAAGUAUCUUCUAUUUUACAUUUUUGGUAUCUUGGGAGCAUCUCUUUUGGCCUUUAACCCAUCUGGUAUAUACUCAUCUGCCUCAGUGCUUUGGAACCCUGACUGUCCUGUCUGCUCAGUUUGCCUUCUUUCUUUCUUGUCAUAAUUUCAAAGAAUGUCCAUUUCAGAUGUGAGAGCUCUGAACUCGACAGAGAUAACUUGCUGCUUGGCACCCACUCAGCCCCUGCAGCUCCUGUCACUUAAUGGUCCAACCCUCUUUGCCAGCAAAAUGUCUGGGGCCUCUGCGGAAAAUGCAGAAUCCUUUUUCAGAAUCUCUGUUAUUGAAUAUCCUCACUCAGCUAAAAUAUUAAAAUCCUCCUGGGAUUAGGUAAUGAGACAGUGUACACUUCAUAGGGUACAAAUUGAAGAGGUAGUUUGGAUGAAUUCUGAAUUGAAUGAGAUAAGAGUGUCAAUAAAAAUAAAAGGAAAACCAUUUAUUUUGUGUAGUAUCUGAUUCUUUCCCCAUUUCUUCGCCCCACUUCUCCACUGCUUUGAUAAUGUGUCUCUAUAGAAUAUGACUCCCGUGGCAACAUUUAAGAAACCGAGGUCACUUUUUAGAUCUUGUAUGCCAAACACUUGCCUAGGCAAGCCUUUGAUUUAGAUGCCUGUAAAUGUGACUUGACAUCUAUAGAUAGGUGUGCUGUCAGGGCAUUCGAUUUACUUAAUAGAAAGGAUGAAGGAAAGUGUGAGCCUAUCUGUAGAAUUCUUUUGUCUUUGAACUGUGGAAUAUGAGUCAUCAGGAACAAUGCUGCAGCAUAUCAGGCAAAGUCUGAAUCCCAAUGACACAAUUCUAAGAACUGUCAGAAUUGACUCAUGCCCAGUGUAAGGGUAUGGGUUACAAUGAGGCUGACUAAAAGUGGGUGGGUGAUUUUGGUUGCUUGCAAAAGUUUGUUUUCAUUCUACACUCAGAAGAAGUCAGGGCUACCACUAUUCCAGUGCGAGGCUGCCCUGCAGGUCUGUAUGUGGGGAGACUGCCUUCUGUUAGGUUCAGAAGUGCGAGCACUCUGACUGCAUCCUCUGGCAUUUAUUUAUCCUCACAACUGAGCCAGCGGGCGGCCAGGUGUGUCCUUCCUCUGCUGAUUCAAGUGAGCCCUUCUUGAAGGUGUGUGCUCUGUAGGAGGAAAAGACUCCUGUUUUCAUUUUGGAGUAUCGGUCCCUAAACACCUUUCUGUGAUGUUUGAGGAAGAUGUAUUUGUAUUGGUUUCUGUUCUAAGGAGACUAGUGUUACUGUAGGCCCUUUAACAAAUGUGUUAGAAAUGCAAAUAUUUGCAUAUGGAAGAAUAAAAUAUUAAGAAUAGUUAUAAAAGUAUAUAAUUUACUCAUAUAGAAAUUAUCUUAUGAAUGAUCACUUUAGUUAACUGACAUCUAGCUAUCACAUUACAAGUAACUGACACCAGCUUCGAGCCCACUAGCUUAGAAUUCUGGUUUGGCAGACCGAAAGAUGCAUAGCCACAAGCUGUUUAUCUCAUGCUGACACAAAGCAUACUGUUUAGCAUCCUUUAGCCCCUGAGAAAAUCUAAUUUUUCAAUUGCCCCUCUGUUUUCUAGAGCCACUCUAAGUUGUUAAAGAUUUCAGAAACGAAGUCUGUUAUCACAGUAUUUUCUUGCAGACAUCUGAUUCUUCCUGAAGGUGGAAGAAUCAUCCAUUUUAUUUAUUUUUUUCCUACAGGUUUAAUUUGCUUUGCUCAAGUCUGUGGUGAGGAUAUUAUUUGCCCUGGAAAAUGACUUAAAAAUAUGACAGUGAUCUCUUCAAGUUUGGGUUGGUUAUUAGACUCAAGAUUUUGGCAGUUAGUAAAGUUUCAUUUAGAAAAAUACAAUAUUUAGAGACCAACCAUGAAGAUUUUAUUCGGGAAGCAUUUUUUUUUUUUUUCCGCUCUCGUUGCCCAGGCUGUAGUGCAAUGGCACAAUCUCGGCUCACUGCAGUCUCCACCUCCCAGGUUCAAGCGAUUCUCCUGUCUCAGCCUCCUGAGUAACUGGGAUUACAGGUGCCCACCACUACACCCAGCUAAUUUUUGGUAUUUUUAAGAGAGACAGGGUUUCACCAUGUUGGCCAGGCUGGUCUUGAACUCCUGACCCCAGGUGAUCUGCUCACCUCAGCCUCCCAAAGUGCUGGGAUUACAGGCAGGAAGCAAUCUUUCUACAAAAGGGGCCCUCCUUGCCUUUCUUUGAUUACUAAUGGAUAGAAUAUUUUUUCAUGCUUCGUAAAUAUUUAAUGACUUCUUUUGUGAAUUGUCUGUACAUGUCUUUGGGUAUUAUUUUAUUAGAGUAUUAGUAUUUUUCUUGUUAAUUUAUAUGAGCUUUUUAUAUAUUAAUACUAUUAUUCCUUUAUCAUUUUGGUGGUGAAUAUUUUUCUAGACUCCCUUUGCCUUCUAAUUCUCUUUAUAUUCUGAUUAACCCUUAAAGUUUAAUUUAAAAAUCUAGUAAACAAUUGUUUUCCAACUGUGCUGGAACUGUUAACUGUAUAAUUGUUUUCUAAUAUGUAAAUCUUUAGAAAAUAUAGUUAGGCACAAUUAAGGAUCAUAUUUUUGUUAGGGGGGUAAAUAUGGCUGAAAGAUAAGCUAAAGUUAGGCUUUAAAUUCUAAGGCAAGAGAUCAUCCAGUAUAAAUGUGUUUCAGUCUAGCACAGAUGUUGUUGGAUGCAAUUAUGGGUUAUGAUAUGGUAAGGUAUCCAUGAAUGCUUAUUUCUUUGAUGCAGUGCAGUGGUUUUCAAGCAGUCUGCAUUGUGUAAUAUGUCACUGUCAUAUUAUCUCAUAUUCUGUCAUAUUAUCUCACUGUUUUGUAACUCUCAUAGAAGUCCCCUUUUGAAUCUACCAUAGUUGGCAAGGAAAAAAAAAAAGGAAAAAAGAAGUCCCCUUUGUGGUAGACCCUUUUAUGGAUUUAUUCAUGUCACAUCUACAUCUAUUGUCACAUCUAAACGCACCCUGGGAUUCUAAGGAGAUGAACAAAUAAGGGUCUUGAUAGUUCUAUGUUGUUGGAAUAUGGAGAGUUGGAAAGCUGCUGUGUUGGAUGGAUAUUUGAUAAUAAAGAACUCCAGUGGA